rnacentral:rRNA from 1 species
GACGAACGCUGGCGGCGUGCUUAACACAUGCAAGUCGAGCGAUCGGCCAAGGAGGGGUAACCCUCCUCGGUACGGAGCGGCGAACGGGUGAGUAACACGUGGGCAACCUGCCCCAGACUCUGGAAUAACCCCGGGAAACCGGGGCUAAUGCCGGAUACUCUCGCCGGAUCGCAUGGUCUGACGAGGAAAGCUCCGACGGUCUGGGAUGGGCCCGCGGCCUAUCAGCUUGUUGGUGGGGUAACGGCCUACCAAGGCGACGACGGGUAGCUGGCGUGAGAGCGUGGCCAGCCACACUGGGACUGAGACACGGGCCCAGACUCCUACGGGAGGCAGCAGUGGGGAAUCUUGCGCAAUGGGCGAAAGCCUGACGCAGCGACGCCGCGUGGGGGAAGGAGGGCCCUCGGGUUGUAAACCCCUUUGGCAGGGAGAAGCGAAAGUGACGGUACCUGCAGAGAAGCCCCAGGCUAACUACGUGCCAGCAGCCGCUGU